GGAGGAGCAGGAGGAGGAGGAGGAGCAGGAGGAGGAGCAGGAGGAGGAGCAGGAGGAGGAGGAGGAGGAGGAGGGACUUCACAAGCAGGCCUGGCAUGUUUAUGCCUCGCAUCCGUCCCUCCUGGAGCAAACGGCAUCUUGACCAGCCUUCGUUUCUCAUCCUCUGGAAGCAGGAUGCACUUUGCAGCUUUUCUCAGCGGGUCUAGUGAACUCUGAGGUACAAAACUCCAGGUAAGGUCCCUUAGGGGGCCACUCAGCUGCAGUGCAAGUGGGGCUUCUCAGUGGGGUCUCCAUCCCUGGGGGCAGCACCAUGAGCCUGCAGGGACAGCUCAGAAUGGAUCACAGGCUUUCUCUGCCUGUUGCUGCCACCCAUGGGCAGUGAACCUGUUUGCUGGCACUUGUGUUGGAGUGCAUUCUGUCUCGCUGCACCCAGAGAACUCACCGAGCAGUGCUCAUGAACAUGCCUCACACUUGCCGCUCCAGAACACCUGCCUCCGCUGCCUGGGGGUGAAUGCAAACAAUGAGAAAGCAUCAAAAAUAACAGUCAAAAAUAACCAGGAGUUCUACCCAGGCUUCAAGGGAUUCAUUCUAAACUACUUUGCAUUUUAAAGCAUGGGAAAAGAGCACUGAUCUUGAGAGGACUGUUGUGAGUAGAAUAUUUAUGCCCACCCUCUUGACUCAACUUCCUGUGUGGAAAUAUUAAAGGUAGGCCUUCAGGAGGGGGGUGAUCAGGCUGUGAAUUCCCAGUGGGACUGUGCCCUUAUAAAGAACUGGGGCUGCUCCCCUAAAA
rnacentral:lncRNA from 1 species